AACAGGGAUUGCCUCAGUAACGGCGAGUGAAGCGGCAAAAGCUCAAAUUUGAAAUCCUUCGGGAAUUGUAUUUUGAAGGUGGGUUUGGUUAGGAAAAGAUACUUUAAGUCCAUUGGAAAAUGGCGCCAUGGAGGGUGAUAGCCCCGUAAAAGUCCCCCUUUUCCUUCUAUCCAUUCCCUCCAAAGAGUCGAGUUGUUUGGGAAUGCAGCUCUAAGUGGGUGGUAAAUUCCAUCUAAAGCUAAAUAUUGGCGAGAGACCGAUAGCGAACAAGUACAGUGAUGGAAAGAUGAAAAGCACUUUGAAAAGAGAGUGAAAAAGUACGUGAAAUUGUUGAAAGGGAAGGGCUUGCAAGCAGACACAACCUCGGUUGGGCCAGCAUCGGAGUGGGGGGAGACAAAAAAGAAAAGGAAUGUAACUCUUUCGAGUAUUAUAGCCUUCUCUCAUAUCUCCACCCCCUUCCGAGGCCUGCGAUUCUUCAAGGAUGCUGG
rnacentral:rRNA from 1 species